AGAGCCGGGCAGCGUAGGCUUCCCCGUAGUGGGGAAUAGGGAGUCCUCAAGGUUUCCUUUGGGGUCCUGGCUCCCCAUAAAAGCAAGCAUUCAUCCAUUCAGCAGAUACUGGGUACCAGCCAUGUUAAGUAAGGUUCUGGGAGCUGGGAAGACCGGACCGGGCCUUGACCUUGAAGAGAUCGUAAUAGAUGGGAGGAAGGCUUCUGCUAUGGGCCAGGCUUUUGGAACAAGCCACCCAGAUUUCUUUCAUGCUUUGUGGGAAGGAGUAGCAGGAUGGAGGCCUGGUCUCCAGGGUAGGCCCCUGUCUCCCGAACAGGUGGGAGCCCUUCUGAGGGCAUGUGGCCCCUGUUCCUCGCGGGAGUGUGGAAAUGCCAGAAGAGUAGGUUUUCCCAGUGACCAAGUGUUGGCAGACUACAACCCCGGGUCAGACCCCUCUUUUGUAAAUAAAGAUUUAUUGGAACCCUU